GCGUUCACUGUGGCAGCACUUACACUAAAAUUGGAACGAUACAGAGAAGAUUAGCAUGGCCCCUGCGCAAGAAUGACACCCAAACUCGUGAGCGUUCCAUAUUUUA
ensembl:snRNA U6 U6 spliceosomal RNA